AGCAGUGUAGCCUAGUGGAUAGAGCAAAGGGCUGGGAGUCAGAGGACCUGGGUUCUAAUCCCAGCUCUGCCU
rnacentral:tRNA from 1 species